rnacentral:rRNA from 1 species
AAGUCUGAUGUUAAAGCCCGGAGCUCAACUCCGGUUAGGCAUUGGAUACUGGCAAGCUAGAGUGCAGGAGAGGCAAGGGGAAUUCCCAGUGUAGCGGUGAAAUGCAUAGAUAUUGGGAGGAACACCAGUUGCGUAAGCGCCUUGCUGGACUGUAACUGACGCUGAGGGACGAAAGCCAGGGGAGCAAAUGGGAUUAGAUACCCCAGUAGUCCUGGCCGUAAACGAUGGAUACUAGGUGUUGCGGGUAUCGACCCCCGCAGUGCUGCAGCUAACGCAAUAAGUAUCCCGCCUGGGGAGUACGCACGCAAGUGUGAAACUCAAAGAAAUUGACGGGGACCCGCACAAGCGGUGGAACAUGUGGUUUAAUUCGAAGCAACGCGAAGAACCUUACCAGGGCUUGACAUCCCAAGAAUCCUGUAGAGAUACGGGAGUGCCUUCGGGAACUUGGUGACAGGUGGUGCACGGUUGUCGUCAGCUCGUGUCGUGAGAUGUUGGGUUAAGUCCCGCAACGAGCGCAACCCUCGUUGUUAGUUGCCAGUAACGGCAUGCUGUUACUGUGCUCUCUAGCGAGACUGCCGGUGAUAAACCGGAGGAAGGUGGGGAUGACGUCAAAUCAUCAUGCCCCUUAUGUCCUGGGCUACACACGUGUUACAAUGGGUGGGACAGCGAGCAGCCAACCAGCAAUGGUGAGCAAAUCUCAUAAACCCACUCCCAGUUCGGAUCGCAGUCUGUAACUCGACUGCGUGAAGUCGGAAUCGCUAGUAACCGUAGAUCAGCACGCUGCGGUGAAUACGUUCCCGGGUCUUGUACACACUGCCCGUCACACCAUGGAAGCUGACCACGCCCGAAGUCGGUGUGCUAACUCUUUGAGAGCAGCCGCCUAAGGC